rnacentral:rRNA from 1 species
UAGGGAAUCUUCGGCAAUGGGGGGAACCCUGACCGAGCAACGCCGCGUGAGUGAAGAAGGUUUUCGGAUCGUAAAGCUCUGUUGUUAAGGAAGAACGAGUGUGAGAAUGGAAAGUUCAUACUGUGACGGUACUUAACCAGAAAGGGACGGCUAACUACGUGCCAGCAGCCGCGGUAAUACGUAGGUCCCGAGCGUUGUCCGGAUUUAUUGGGCGUAAAGCGAGCGCAGGCGGUUUUCUAAGUCUGAUGUGAAAGCCUUCGGCUUAACCGGAGAAGUGCAUCGGAAACUGGAUAACUUGAGUGCAGAAGAGGGUAGUGGAACUCCAUGUGUAGCGGUGGAAUGCGUAGAUAUAUGGAAGAACACCAGUGGCGAAGGCGGCUACCUGGUCUGCAACUGACGCUGAGACUCGAAAGCAUGGGUAGCGAACAGGAUUAGAUACCCUGGUAGUCCAUGCCGUAAACGAUGAGUGCUAGGUGUUGGAGGGUUUCCGCCCUUCAGUGCCGGAGCUAACGCAUUAAGCACUCCGCCUGGGGAGUACGACCGCAAGGUUG